CAGUUGGUAGCUCAGUGGUAGAGUGCGUGCACUAUGUGUAUGACGUCCUGGUUUCAAAUCCCAGCCUGCUCC